ensembl:lncRNA
UGACCAGACAGAGUAGUUUCUCUAAGGGGUAUAUUGACCAGACAGAGUAGUUUCUCUAAGGGAUAUAAUGACCAGACAGACUAGUUUCUCUAAGGGGUUUAUUGACCAGACAGACUAGUUUCUCUAAGGGGUAUAUUGACCAGACAGACUAUUUUCUCUAAGGGAUAUAAUGACCAGACAGACUAGUUUCUCUAAGGGGUAUAUUGACCAGACAGAGUAGUUUCUCUAAGGGGUAUAUUGACCAGACAGAGUAGUUUCUCUAAGGGGUAUAUUGACCAGACAGACUAGUUUCUCUAAGGGAUAUAAUGACCAGACAGACUAGUUUCUCUAAGGGGUAUAUUGACCAGACAGAGUAGUUUCUCUAAGGGAUAUAAUGACCAGACAGACUAGUUUCUCUAAGGGGUUUAUUGACCAGACAGACUAGUUUCUCUAAGGGGUAUAUUGACCAGACAGACUAGUUUCUCUAAGGGGUAUAUUGACCAGACAGACUAGUUUCUCUAAGGGAUAUAAUGACCAGACAGAGUAGUUUCUCUAAGGGGUAUAUUGACCAGACAGAGUAGUUUCUCUAAGGGAUAUAAUGACCAGACAGAGUAGUUUCUCUAAGGGAUAUAUUGACCAGACAGACUAGUUUCUCUAAGGGGUAUAUUGACCAGAGUAGUUUCUCUAAGGGGUUUAUUGACCAGACAGAGAAAGAGAGGACGGAUUCCCUUAACACUGCCCUUCUUAACCCAAAACCCUCACAGUCAACAGAACUGAGGAUCACUUCAUGUGUUAGUAUCCAAAUACCAAGAUCUCCUGAAUUGGCCUUAACAGCAGAUGUUUGUGUCAGAUUUAUGGACACUAGGCAGGUAGUCUAGUGGUUAGAGGAGGCAGGUAGUCUAGUGGUUAGAGGAGGCAGGUAGCCUAGUGGUUAGAGGUGGGUGACAGGUAGCCUAGUGGUUAGAGG